AACGCGAAGAACCUUACCGGGGCUUGACAUCCUACGACAUCCUAGGAGACUAGGUUUUCUAGCAAUAGAACGUAGAGACAGGUGCUGCAUGGCUGUCGUCAGCUCGUGCCGUGAGGUGUUGGGUUAAGUCCCGCAACGAGCGCAACCCUUGUCGUGUGUUGGUAGGUAACUAUCUCUCACGCGAGACCGCCGGUGACAAGCCGGAGGAAGGUGGGGAUGACGUCAAGUCAGCAUGGCCCUUACGUCCCGGGCUACACACGUGCUACAAUGGGAAGGACAGCGAGUCGCGAACCCGCGAGGGUAAGCCAAUCUCUUAAACCUUUCCUCAGUUCGGAUUGAAGGCUGCAACUCGCCUUCAUGAAGUCGGAAUCGCUAGUAAACGCAGAUCAGCUACGCUGCGUUGAAUACGUUCCCGGGCCUUGUACACACCGUAGUAC
rnacentral:rRNA from 1 species